UACGAAGGGGGCUAGCGUUGCUCGGAAUGACUGGGCGUAAAGGGCUCGUAGGCGGCCAACUAAGUCAGACGUGAAAUCCCUCGGCGUUAACCGGGGAACUGCGUCUGAUACUGGAUGGCUUGAGGUUGGGAGAGGGAUGCGGAAUUCCAGGUGUAGCGGAUGAAAUGCGUAGAUAUCUGGAGGAACACCGGUGGCGAAGGCGGCAUCCUGGACCAAUUCUGACGCUGAGGAGCGAAAGCCAGGGAGCAAACGGG
rnacentral:rRNA from 1 species